rnacentral:lncRNA from 1 species
GCAGUGUCCCUCAGAUAAAGUUUAUCUGGAAAGUUCAGUCCUGGCAGGAUUACAGGUUUUCCUCUUGACUUGGCAAAAGUCUUAGGAGCAAAACAAGGCACUUCAAGGAAAUGACACUAAAUGCCCUGGUUUUUCUCAGGGACUGUGCACACUGCCAUGGCUAGAACUGGAAAAGCAGAGUAGAUGCUGAAGAAUGCUGCCCAGAUCCACACUUCAACUACCUUUUUAGAAUAUGGUCAAGAACCUUUGACCAAGCAAUUUUAAUUUUUUGAAAAGUAGUGUACAUAAAUGCUACUGUAUGGACACCAACAUAUACAACUUCAUCUGCAAAUUACAAAAUUAUUUGUAAUAUGUGAAAAGUCAGAAGUUAUAUGAAAUUUCAUCAAUAUAGCACUGGUAAGUAAAUAGUACUAUUUGUACAUUUUCAGUAGUUAGAAUAUAGACUUCAAUAUACUGACAUGGGAAGUUCUUUGAGACUUACUGAUAAUUGGUAGAUGAAAAAGAACAAGCCAAAC